GGUGAACGCUGGCGGCGUGCCUAAGACAUGCAAGUCGAGCGGGCCGCGGGGUUUUACUCCGUGGUCAGCGGCGGACGGGUGAGUAACGCGUGGGUGACCUACCCGGAAGAGGGGGACAACCCGGGGAAACUCGGGCUAAUCCCCCAUGUGGACCCGCCCCUUGGGGUGUGUCCAAAGGGCUUUGCCCGCUUCCGGAUGGGCCCGCGUCCCAUCAGCUAGUUGGUGGGGUAAUGGCCCACCAAGGCGACGACCGGUAGCCGGCCUGAGAGGAUGGCCGGCCACAGGGCCACUGGGACACUGACCCCACCCCUACGGAAGGCAGAAGGUAGGAACCUUCCGCAAUGAGCGCAAGCCUGACGGAGCGACGCCGCGUGGAGGAAGAAGCCCUGCGGGGUGUAAACUCCUGAACCCGGGACGAAACCCCCGACGAGGGGACUGACGGUACCGGGGUAAUAGCGCCGGCCAACUCCGUG
rnacentral:rRNA from 1 species